rnacentral:rRNA from 1 species
GACGAACGCUGGCGGCGUGCUUAACACAUGCUAGUCGAACGGAAAGGCCCUGCUUUUGUGGGGUGCUCGAGUGGCGAACGGGUGAGUAACACGUGAGUAACCUGCCCUUGACUUUGGGAUAACUUCAGGAAACUGGGGCUAAUACCGGAUAGGAGCUCCUGCUGCAUGGUGGGGGUUGGAAAGUUUCGGCGGUUGGGGAUGGACUCGCGGCUUAUCAGCUUGUUGGUGGGGUAGUGGCUUACCAAGGCUUUGACGGGUAGCCGGCCUGAGAGGGUGACCGGCCACAUUGGGACUGAGAUACGGCCCAGACUCCUACGGGAGGCAGCAGUGGGGAAUAUUGCACAAUGGGCGGAAGCCUAAUGCAGCAACGCCGCGUGCGGGAUGACGGCCUUCGGGUUGUAAACCGCUUUCGCCUGUGACGAAGCGUGAGUGACGGUAAUGGGUAAAGAAGCACCGGCUAACUACGUG